CCGAAUGAAUAUCUGUCCCUGUGAAGUAAAUCCAGUUGGUUGACGUGGUGGAGGUUUUGGUUGAUGUGGUGAAGGUUUUGCUUGACGUGGUGGAGGUUUUGGUUGACGUGGUGAAGGUUUUGGUUGAUGUGGUG